rnacentral:rRNA from 1 species
GCCCUUAGAGUUUGAUCCUGGCUCAGGAUGAACGCUGGCGGUAUGCUUUACACAUGCAGGUCGUACGAGAGUUUUUAACUCAAGUGGCGGACGGGUGAGUAACACGUAAGAAUUUGCCUUUAGGAGGGGGAUAACAACUGGAAACGGUUGCUAAUACCCCAUUAUGCUUUCGGAGUAAAAUGGAUUUUCCGCCUAAAGAGAAGCUUGCGGCUGAUUAGCUUGUUGGUGAGGUAAUGGCUCACCAAGGCGGACGAUCAGUAUCUGGUUUGAGAGGACGAUCAGACACACUGGAACUGAGACACGGUCCAGACUCCUACGGGAGGCAGCAGUGGGGAAUUUUCCGCAAUGGGCGAAAGCCUGACGGAGCAAUACCGCGUGAGGGAUGACGGCCUAUGGGUUGUAAACCUCUUUUUUCAGGGAGGAAUCAAUGACGUGUACCUGAAGAAUAAGCAUCGGCUAACUCCGUGCCAGCAGCCGCGGUAAGACGGAGGAUGCAAGUGUUAUCCGGAAUCACUGGGCGUAAAGCGUCUGUAGGUGGUCAAAUAAGUCAACUGUUAAAUCUUGAGGCUCAACCUCAAAAUCGCAGUCGAAACUAUUCGACUAGAGUAUAGUAGGGGUAAAGGGAAUUUCCAGUGGAGCGGUGAAAUGCGUAGAGAUUGGAAAGAACACCGAUGGCGAAGGCACUUUACUGGGCUAUUACUAACACUGAGAGACGAAAGCUAGGGUAGCAAAUGGGAUUAGAUACCCCAGUAGUCCUAGCCGUAAACAAUGGAUACUAGAUGUUGAACAGAUCGACCUGUGCAGUAUCAAAGCUAACGCGUUAAGUAUCCCGCCUGGGAAGUAUGCUCGCAAGAGUGAAACUCAAAUGAAUUGACGGGGAAGGGC